rnacentral:rRNA from 1 species
AUAGCGUAUAUUAAAGUUGUUGCAGUUAAAAAGCUCGUAGUUGAACCUUGGGCCUGGCUGCUCGGUCCGCCUAACCGCGUGCACUGAUGCGGCCGGGCCUUUCCUUCUGGCUAACCUCAUGCCCUUUACUGGGUGUGUUGGAGAUCCAGGACUUUUACUUUGAAAAAAUUAGAGUGUUCAAAGCAGGCCUUUGCUCGAAUACAUUAGCAUGGAAUAAUAGAAUAGGACGGCGGUUUUAUUUUGUUGGUUUCUAGAGCCACCGUAAUGAUUAAUAGGGAUAGUCGGGGGCAUCAGUAUUCAAUUGUCAGAGGUGAAAUUCUUGGAUUUAUUGAAGACUAACUACUG